rnacentral:rRNA from 1 species
UCAUUAAGUUGGGCACUCUAACGAGACUGCCGGUGAUAAACCGGAGGAAGGUGGGGAUGACGUCAAAUCAUCAUGCCCCUUAUGACCUGGGCUACACACGUGCUACAAUGGAUGGUACAACGAGUCGCGAGACAGUGAUGUUUAGCUAAUCUCUUAAAACCAUUCUCAGUUCGGAUUGUAGGCUGCAACUCGCCUACAUGAAGUCGGAAUCGCUAGUAAUCGCGGAUCAGCACGCCGCGGUGAAUACGUUCCCGGGCCUUGUACACACCGCCCGUCACACCACGGGAGUUGGGAGUACCCGAAGUAGGUUGCCUAACCGCAAGGAGGGCGCUUCCUAAGGUAAGACCGAUGACUGGGGUGAAGUCGUAACAAGGUAGCCGUAUCGGAAGGUGCGGCUGGAUCACCUCCUUU